UAGAGUUUGAUCCUGGCUCAGGAUGAACGCUAGCUACAGGCUUAACACAUGCAAGUCGAGGGGAAACGACAUAGUUAGCUUGCUAACUUUGGGCGUCGACCGGCGCACGGGUGAGUAACGCGUAUCCAACCUGCCCACCACUUGGGAAUAACCUUGCGAAAGUAAGACUAAUGCCCAAUGACGUUGAAAGAAGACAUCUGAUUUCAACUAAAGAUUCAUCGGUGAUGGAUGGGGAUGCGUCCGAUUAGCUUGUUGGCGGGGUAACGGCCCACCAAGGCGACGAUCGGUAGGGGUUCUGAGAGGAAGGUCCCCCACAUUGGAACUGAGACACGGUCCAAACUCCUACGGGAGGCAGCAGUGAGGAAUAUUGGUCAAUGGGCGAGAGCCUGAACCAGCCAAGUAGCGUGCAGGAUGACGGCCCUAUGGGUUGUAAACUGCUUUUAUAAGGGAAUAAAGUGGGGCUCGUGAGCUCCUUUGCAUGUACCUUAUGAAUAAGGACCGGCUAAUUCCGUGCCAGCAGCCGCGGUAAUACGGAAGGUCCGGGCGUUAUCCGGAUUUAUUGGGUUUAAAGGGAGCGUAGGCCGCAGGUUAAGCGUGUUGUGAAAUGUAGGGGCUCAACCUCUGCACUGCAGCGCGAACUGGCUUGCUUGAGUACGCACAACGUGGGCGGAAUUCGUGGUGUAGCGGUGAAAUGCUUAGAUAUCACGAAGAACUCCGAUUGCGAAGGCAGCUCACGGGAGCGCAACUGACGCUGAAGCUCGAAAGUGCGGGUAUCGAACAGGAUUAGAUACCCUGGUAGUCCGCACGGUAAACGAUGGAUGCCCGCUGUUGGCUUGAAUUAGUCAGCGGCCAAGCGAAAGCAUUAAGCAUCCCACCUGGGGAGUACGCCGGCAACGGUG
rnacentral:rRNA from 1 species